AGGAUUAAUUGGCUCAGGUGCUGUAGGGCAGAUGAUUACUAGCAGUGGCCUCAUGGGGCGCUAUAAAGGGCAAAGAAGCCUUCACUCGGCCAGGGGCAGCAUUUGGCCAUUGGAACCGCCCACUUCCUGUUUUCACACCUCCGGCUAGCCUCACAGCUCCGGAUGAGACCUGCAGGCACAGAUUGAGCAAAAUACAGCCUCUGCAAUUGAGCGCGCCUCCCAGGUGACGAACAGUCUGUCUGCGCCGGGGACUUUCUGACGCUCCCACCUGCUGAACAGCUGCUGCUUUUUAUAUAUUGAAUUUUAGAAUUAUUUUAAGGAACUGUCACCGCUCGUGAUCAGAAUCCCUGUAGACUCCUGACCAGGGUUCUGCCGGGCCCGGGUGCUCCUCAGCUGCCUUUGAGCCUGAGCAACGGAGGACUAACGGGGCGUCACGCCUGAAUCCUCCACCACCGACGAGAAUAAAAGCUCGGCCGCGCUCCGUUCAUUGCGCAGCACCCUACGGGCGGACUUACUCUCACGAGAGUUUCUUUUAUUUUGUUUUUAGCAUUUUUACACAAUUCUUUUAGACCUGUGUUUUAACUGGAUUUUAUUGUGUGAUCCACCUUUGUUUCCCCCCCUCCCUCAGUGCUGAGGACUCGGGUGCCAGCCCAGAAUUCUAGGUGGAGGCUGUCCCCCC